rnacentral:rRNA from 14 species
CAUGGCAGACACACGGCGGGUGCUAACGUCCGUCGUGGAGAGGGAAACAACCCUGACCGCCAGUUAAGGUCCCAAAGUCAUGGCUAAGUGGGAAAGGAUGUGAGGAUCCCAAAACAACCAGGAUGUUGGCUUAGAAGCAGCCAUCAUUUAAAGAAAGCGUAACAGCUCACUGGUCUAAAUAAGGGUUCCUGCGGCGAAGAUGUAACGGGGCUAAAGAUAUGCACCGAAGCUUAGGGUUCAGAAUUUAUUCUGAGCGGUAGCGGAGCGUUCCGUAAGCGGAUGAAGCCGAAGGGUAACCGACGGUGGACGUAUCGGAAGUGCGAAUGCUGACAUGAGUAGCGACAAACAGUGUGAGAUGCACUGUCGCCGAAAGCCCAAGGGUUCCUGCUUAAAGCUAAUCUGAGCAGGGUGAGUCGGCCCCUAAGACGAGCCCGAAGGGGGUAGUCGAUGGGAACACGGUUAAUAUUCCGUGACCUGGUGGAAUGUGACGGAUCUCGUGUGUUGUCUGAUCUUAUUGGAUUGAUCAGGCUUCGAAGAGGUUCCAGGAAAUAGCUCCACCAUAUAGACCGUACCCUAAACCGACACAGGUGGGCAGGUAGAGUAUACCAAGGCGCUUGAGAGAAGUAUCCUGAAGGAACUCGGCAAAUUACCUCCGUAACUUCGGGAGAAGGAGGCCCAUCAUUAAGGCAACUUUUUGGUGGGGGCACAGAAGAGGGGGUGGCGACUGUUUACUAAAAACACAGGGCUCUGCGAAGUGGUGAACACGACGUAUAGGGUCUGACGCCUGCCCGGUGCUGGAAGGUUAAGGGGAGCGGUGAGAGCUGCGAAUUGAAGCCCCAGUAAACGGCGGCCGUAACAAUAA